GAUGAAGAACGUAGCGAAAUGCGAUACGUAAUGUGAAUUGCAAAUUCAGUGAAUCAUCGAGUCUUUGAACGCACAUUGCGCCCUCUGGUAUUCCGGAGGGCAUGCCUGUCUGAGCGUCAUUGUCAACCCUCAAGCUCAGCUUGCUGUUGGGUCCCCGUCGUUGCUUUACCGGCGGACCCCAAAGAUAAUGGCAGAGUCCGUGAGACCCUGGAUGCAGCGAGCUUCUAGCACGCGUCUGGACGGUUUUCGGGCUUGGUCUUAACCAGAUGAUAACCUCUGAUUGACCUCAGAUCAGGUAGGGAUACCCGCUGAACUUAAGCAUAUCAAUAAGCGGAGGA
rnacentral:misc_RNA from 1 species